CGGGGUGCACCAGGCGCGAAAACUUUACAAUGCCGGCAACGGCGAUAAGGGGACCUCGAGUGCCAGGUUACAAAUCUGGCUGUCGUGAUGCCUAAAAAGCAUUGCAUAGCAAGGGCCGGGCAAGACCGGUGCCAGCCGUUGCGGUAACACCGGCGGCUCGAGUGGUAACCGUUAUCAUUGGGUCUAAAGGGUCUGUAGCCGGCCGGAUAAGUCUCUUGGGAAAUCUGGCAGCUUAACUGUCAGGCUUUCAGGAGAUACUGUCUGGCUCGAGGCCGGGAGAGGUGAGAGGUACUUCAGGGGUAGGGGUGAAAUCUUGUAAUCCUUGAAGGACCACCAGUGGCGAAGGCGUCUCACCAGAACGGACCUGACGGCAAGGGACGAAAGCUAGGGGCACGAACCGGAUUAGAUACCCGGGUAGUCCUAGCCGUAAACGAUACUCGCUAGGUGUCGGCCACGGUGCGACCGUGGUCGGUGCCGUAGGGAAGCCGUGAAGCGAGCCACCUGGGAAGUACGGCCGCAAGGCUGAAACUUAAAGGAAUG
rnacentral:rRNA from 1 species